ensembl:misc_RNA Y_RNA Y RNA
GGUUGAUCUGAUGGUAGUGGGUUAUCAGAACUUAUUAACAUGAGUGUCAUUAAAGUUGGUAUAUAGCCCCUCACUGCUAAAUCUGGCUUAAACAUUU